AUUGAACGCUGGCGGCAGGCUUAACACAUGCAAGUCGAGCGAGCGGCGGACGGGUGGGUAAUGUCUGGGCAACUGCCUGAUGGAGGGGGAUAACUACUGGAACCGGUAGCUAAUACCGCAUACCAUCAGAUGUGCCCAGAUGGGAUUGGCUGGUAGGUGGGGUAAUGGCUCACCUAGGCGACGAUCCCUAGCUGGACUGAGAGAAUGACCAGCCACACUGGAACUGGGACACGGUCAAGACUCCUACGUGAGGCAGCAGGGGGGAAUAUUGGACAAUGGGGGCGAGCCUGAUGCAGCCAUGCCGCGUGUAUGAAGACGGCCUUCGGGUUGUAAAGUACUUUCAGCGGGGAGGCGUUACUCGCAGAAGAAGCACCGGCUAACUCCGUGCCAGCAGCCGCGGUAAUUC
rnacentral:rRNA from 1 species